UACGGAGGAUCCGAGCGUUAUCCGGAUUUAUUGGGUUUAAAGGGAGCGUAGGUGGAUUGUUAAGUCAGUUGUGAAAGUUUGCGGCUCAACCGUAAAAUUGCAGUUGAAACUGGCAGUCUUGAGUACAGUAGAGGUGGGCGGAAUUCGUGGUGUAGCGGUGAAAUGCUUAGAUAUCACGAAGAACUCCGAUUGCGAAGGCAGCUCACUGAACUGCAACUGACACUGAGGCUCGAAAGUGUGGGUAUCAAACAGG
rnacentral:rRNA from 1 species